UUUUAUGGAGAGUUUGAUCCUGGCUCAGGAUGAACGCUGGCGGCGUGCCUAAUACAUGCAAGUCGAGCGAACGGACGAGAAGCUUGCUUCUCUGAUGUUAGCGGCGGACGGGUGAGUAACACGUGGAUAACCUACCUAUAAGACUGGGAUAACUUCUGGAAACCGGAGCUAAUACCGGAUAAUAUUUUGAACCGCAUGGUUCAAAAGUGAAAGACGGUCUUGCUGUCACUUAUAGAUGGAUCCGCGCUGCAUUAGCUAGUUGGUAAGGUAACGGCUUACCAAGGCAACGAUGCAUAGCCGACCUGAGAGGGUGAUCGGCCACACUGGAACUGAGACACGGUCCAGACUCCUACGGGAGGCAGCAGUAGGGAAUCUUCCGCAAUGGGCGAAAGCCUGACGGAGCAACGCCGCGUGAGUGAUGAAGGUCUUCGGAUCGUAAAACUCUGUUAUUAGGGAAGAACAUAUGUGUAAGUAACUGUGCACAUCUUGACGGUACCUAAUCAGAAAGCCACGGCUAACUACGUGCCAGCAGCCGCGGUAAUACGUAGGUGGCAAGCGUUAUCCGGAAUUAUUGGGCGUAAAG
rnacentral:rRNA from 1 species